GACGAACGCUGGCGGCGUGCUUAACUCAUGCAAGUCGAACGGUGAAGGUGGAGCUUGCUCCGCCGGAUCAGUGGCGAACGGGUGAGUAACACGUGGGCAACCUGCCCCUGACUUUGGGAUAACGCCUCGAAAGGGGUGCUAAUACCGAAUACGAGCUAGCCAGGCAUCUGGUUGGCUGGAAAGUUUUUCGGUCAGGGAUGGGCGCGCGGCCUAUUAGCUUGUUGGUGAGGGAACGGCUCACCAAGGCAACGACGGGGAGCCGGCCCGAGAGGGAGACCGGCCACGCUGGGACUGAGACACGGCCCAGACUCCUACGGGAGGCAGCAGUGGGGAAUAUUGCGCAAUGGGCGAAAGCCUGACGCAGCAACGCCGCGUGAGGGAUGACGGCCUUCGGGUUGUAAACCUCUUUCAGCAGGGAAGAAGGGAAACUGACGGUACCUGCAGAAGAAGCACCGGCUAACUACGUGCCAGCCGCCGCCGUAA
rnacentral:rRNA from 1 species